UUUUUAUUUAUUGACUUGUGCAUUUGUUCUACUAAUAUUAUUACCGAAUAUAUUGAAUUGACUCUACUAAAUUGUCUUGCUAAACCAAACGUUUAAAAAGAGAAACUCUUUCUUUCUUCUUCUUAUUCUUCAUUUUUUUCCUUUUGAAUAAUUCUUGACUAAAAUAGUUCAUCAACGUUUCAUAAUCUUUAAGAAAUUACACAAAUUUGCAAUUCAAAAAAGAGAAACUUUAAGACUAUAGUGAACUUUUUAAUCUUCAGUGAAAAGUAUUGAAAUUGAUUGGGAGUUGAUAAUGAAGAUCCAGAAGAGAAAUCUUCCUUGUUCCACACUUAAGAAUAGAUCUUUGACUAAAUAGUCAUCACCACCAGUUCUUUUACAGUUACCAAAAUCAAAUCUAGGCUGCUGCUGAUCUUGACCUUGUUCUGAAGAUGGUCUAGUUUUAAAUCCUUGAGGAUGUGUUGGCUGAGGCACACGUCACAUCAUUUGUUGAUUCAGCUCAGGCAGUGCUUGUCGUGGGUUGAGAUAUGUCUGACCAUCUAAAUCAAAUGAUCUUGGCUGUCCUGUUGCGGCAUUCCUGAAUAGCGGCAUUCUUAGGUUAGCCAUUGGAUGUUGAUAUAAGUUAUGCUGAGUAGCCAUUAGAUCAUGAAUGGGCCUCAUUGGCCCUGACAUUAGAUUGUUCAUCUUGUUAGCUGAUGGAUGUUGAUCAUAUGUGUUAUGUAGUCUCCAUGUGAUCUACUUACUAAUGCAGGCCCUCGAAUCUGGUUAGCCACUGGAAGCUGUUGAUAUAUUUUUAAAGGGGCCAUGGUUUUAUAGUUAUACGCAAGAAGGAAAUAUUAACCAUUCAAAAUUUUUGAUCCGUUUAGUUCUGUUAAGUCCGAUUUAAUUAGAAAUCACAAUAUCGAAUCUGUUUGGUUCGGUUAAGUCCGGUUUAUUGGACCUGACUUUAAUCUAUAUAUACAUUUUUGGUACACUUUUUGGCAAAAAUCCCUACACUAUUUACUAUUAACAUUUAAGGUCUUACAAAUUCUAUCUCAACCAAAUAUUCUAUGCCUAAAAACUUACAAAUCGUUAAUUUGCAUUAAAUACUUGAAUUAACUCUUUCCUAAAUUUUUAUCAUCAAUUAAAUCUUUCUUUAUGGAACUAAAU
rnacentral:sRNA from 1 species